UGCUGCUAUGGAAGAAAAAUAUGGAGAAAAAGAAUAAAAUGGAGAUUAGAAUUUGUGCAUUUUUCAAUUUAAUCUUUUGAUUAAUCUAAAACUAGACGAGAUCAACAAAUAACGAGCAUCAAACCCACAGCUCAUCACCCUUCAGCCUAGUAUACCUCAGGACAUUGACUCAUACAUCUUAUGGUUGUUCAAAAACCCGUAUUAUAAGGUAUACGUUACAAGCCCUCAUAAUUCAACACCUCGAGUGCAAAAAUUGCAUCAAAAAGAAUCUGUGGCAGUUCGAGGAAUAUAUACCUACAAGGAUUUUUUCGUCAUUUUUGGGUUUAUCUUUCAGAUUACGAAAAAUAAUGAGACACAUAUUUAGGCUUCUUUCGCUGGUGCACCUUUUGAUAUCCAAGCACUUUAAGUAAGGAUACUGCAUUGUAAUGUAUUUCAGUUACUGGAAAGUGACUCAACACUUUCAUUUUGUUGUUUUCAUUCAGAAUUAGUUUUAUAAUCUUUUCAAUGAUUGCAAUACAUUACUGUUCUUACUAAAAAACACUGGAUACGAUUAACAGUGCACUAGUGAAAAAAGUCAAGAUACGCGUCUCAUUUUUCGUUCUCAACAAGAUCAGGUCAAAAAAUUCCUACAAGCAAGGGUCCUUCCCUUGUGAAUAUCAAAUUUAAGUUGGAUUACUGUUGCUGACGAAUCGUUUUGAUCAAUUUUACACAGAAAGAGCUUUGUUAUCUCUGCUUGUGUACUAAGUCGGUAAUUGAAUUAUAUUUUCCAGAAAAGGCCGAACAAGAAAAGUCAACUAAUUGAGUGAUUUAUUUUUCUCCUUCUUGGUUUUAAAAUUUACAUAUGUAUACACAAAGUCUGAAUGCAUUUAUUUCGUUUUGCAACAAAGUAUUUGUACUGAUUCUGUUUUUGCAUAAAUUCAGUAUGAAGUGCUCACAAUCGACUCUAGAAAUUGUCAGAAAACAAAAAAAAAGUAAUAAAUUGGUAACCAUAAUGAAUAUGGUGAUGAAAAAGAAGAUGUUUCAAACCAAUAAUAUGUAAGUUAUUUCUUAUUUUUUAUCUUGUUUGAUCAUUGUUUCCAGUUUCCCAAGUGAUUGUUAUGAUGAUGAUGAAGUUACACAAAAGGAAAAAAAGACAUAAGUAGAAAUCGAAGGAAAGGAAAGCAAAAGGAAAAUAAGAAGAGGAAAAAAGAGGCCAAACCAUGGUAUAAUCAAAUUGCAAUAAUAGAUUCAAGGCACGAUUAUGUUUAACUUGGAAGUGGCCAGAGAAGCAGCGUCUCAGACUUUUGGAUAACAACAAUAACAGAAAAAGCUAUAUAUUCAAGUAGAUAGGAAACAGAAAGCAAAUAUCAACAACAACAAUCAUAAUAAUAACAGCAUCAACAGUAGAAACAAGUGAACACACUAAACAAAUUAAUAAUAUCAAGUAAUGGAAGACAAGUGAAUAACCAGAAUAUAAUAAGGAAUGUAAACAAGGAAGCAAAUAUGGAAGUGGAAAAAAUUAAAUCAAGAUUACUUCAUGGGGAUUCUUGAAUAACUAAUUGGAGAGAAAGGUAAACCCAGAUGAUGAUAAUCAAUAGCAGACCAAAUAAUCAACAAGCUACUCCAUUUAUUUCAUGAUAAAGACAUCGUAUAUGGAAUAAACAGAAGAUGGUUUUGUUGACGUUCAUCAUCAUAAUGGUGAUAAUGGCGAUGAUGGUGAUGAUGGAGAUUAUAUGGAAGGGAUUUCAAGAGGAAAAACAAAGAAGCAAAUGCAAAUUACAUGAUAAACAGGAACCAGAGUGAACAGUCAACAAAUGAUUUAACCAAUAAUCAAAUUGACCUUGGUUAACUUUAAUGUUCCCUUGCCUACAAAUUUUGCUUGUUUUAUGGGUUUCAUUUGAAAAAGUGCAGUUAGUUGCUAACUUGUUGCUGAUAUUGUUGCCAGCAAAUGUUCACCAAGGAUAGACCAGAAAGACUGACGACGAAAAUUAAUUUGAAUAUCUCCAGUCUCUCCAGUCAACUCAUGGUUACAAUGUGGAUACAUUAUUAAUAUUGGAUUGAGAUAAAGUAACAAAAUAUAUUGUAGGAAACAUCAAAUCAAAUAAGAUUGAUUAACUUCACUCAUCUGGAUAAAGCUGGUGUUGUAUCCAUUGAUAAAUGACUCUGUCUGCCAAGUUUGAUGCUCAAAUGGUUAUGAAAUGCAAUUUAAUGUGAUUGUAAUAAACGUUAAUUGAUAUGUAAUAUUACGUAUCAAUUUUACAAUCCUUUUCAUUUGAUUAUCAUUACCAAUUUUCAGGGAAACAUUUAUGGGCUACAAUGUUUUUUUACCUUCACCAGUGAUUAAAAGAGUGAUAAAUUGUCAUCAAAUUGAAAUUGAUUUUUCUUGUUCUACACCCGAAACAUUUUCAUUAUUUGACCGCUUCUAGUUAAUUACUCUAAUCACUGAAUCUGACUGUUACAAUAAAUACAAUGCAAUAAGGAAUCAAAUCAGUGAAAGCUACAGCAAAAAAGGUUCGUAAUGAAGGAAUCAAAUGAUAAGCAUUUUGCUAAUGUAAAUCAAUCAAUGUAUUGCAAUAAUUGAAAGCCAACAAUCAAUGUAAAAAAGGCAACAACCAAAUGACCAACAUAAAGGCAAUCCAAUUCAAGAGAAAUGGUAAACUGAUCAAAUGAAUAUCUCAUGAUAAAAGGAAUGGUGGAAAUGUCAAACAGUAAAUUAUUUUCCAAUAUCAAUCAACAUUGAGAAGUAAAUUGUGGAAUUAAAAAUUGUACAAAAACAAAAGUAAUUGGUAAUUAAAA